GACGAACGCUGGCGGCGUGCCUAAUGCAUGCAAGUCGAGCGGGCUACGAUCUUCGGAUUGUAGCUUAGCGGCGAACGGGUGAGUAACACGUAGGUAAUCUACCCUUCAGAGGAGGACAACCUCAGGAAACUGAGGCUAAACCUUCAUACGUUCACUGGUAGGGAUACUGGUGAAGAAAGAGUUACCUUAAAGGUAGCUGCUGAAGGAUGAGCCUGCGGCCCAUCAGGUAGUUGGUGAGGUAACGGCUCACCAAGCCGAAGACGGGUAGCCGGCCUGAGAGGGCGACCGGCCACACUGGGACUGAGACACGGCCCAGACUCCUACGGGAGGCAGCAGUGGGGAAUAUUGCGCAAUGGGCGAAAGCCUGACGCAGCAACGCCGCGUGGGGGAUGAAGGCCUUCGGGUUGUAAACCUCUUUCAGCAGGGAAGAAGCGAAAGUGACGGUACCUGCAGAAGAAGCACCGGCUAACUACGUG
rnacentral:rRNA from 1 species